rnacentral:rRNA from 1 species
UACAGAGGUCUCGAGCGUUGUUCGGAUUCAUUGGGCGUAAAGGGGGCGAAGGCGGCGAGGUAAGUCGGAUGUGAAAUCUCGGGGCUCAGCCCCGGAACUGCAUUCGAUACUGCCCCGCUUGAGGACUGGAGAGGAGACUGGAAUUCACGGUGUAGCAGUGAUAUGCGUAGAUAUCGUGAGGAAGACCGGUGGCGAAGGCGGGUCUCUGGACAGUUCCUGACGCUGAGGCACGAAGGCCAGGGGAGCAAACGGG